rnacentral:tRNA from 1 species
GCGGCACUGGCCAGGUCGCUCAGGUUGUUGGCCUUCACCGCCAAGGCGGACAGAUCCUGGUCCCCGGUGUUGGUGCCGCUGCUGGUGCC